rnacentral:rRNA from 1 species
GACGAACGCUGGCGGCGUGCCUAAUACAUGCAAGUAGAACGCAGUUGCGAACGGGUGAGUAACACGUAGGUAACUGCCUGGUAGCGGGGGGUAACUAUUGGAAACGAUAGCUAAUACCGCAUACUACCAGAUGGACCUGCGUUGUAUUGGCUAGUUGGUUGGGUAACGGCUCACCAAGGCAACGAUUCAUAGCCGACCUGAGAGGGUGAUCGGCCACACUGGGACUGGGGCACCGCCCAGACUUCCACGGGAGGCAGCAGUAGGGGAACUUCGGCAAUGGGGGGAACCCUGACCGAGCAACGCCGGGUGGGUUAAGAAGGUUUUCGGAUCGGAAAGCUCUGUUGUGAAGGAAGCGGUACUUAACCAGAAAGGGCCGGCUAACUACGUGCCAGCAGCCGCGGUAAUUC